rnacentral:rRNA from 1 species
GACGAACGCUGGCGGCGUGCUUAACACAUGCAAGUCGAACGAUGACGACCGAGCUUGCUCGGUCUGAUUAGUGGCGAACGGGUGAGUAACACGUGAGCAACCUGCCCUUCACUCUGGGAUAACCUCGGGAAACCGGGGCUAAUACCGGAUAUGAGCUCCUGUCGCAUGGCGGGUGUUGGAAAGUUUUUCGGUGAAGGAUGGGCUCGCGGCCUAUCAGUUUGUUGGUGGGGUAGUGGCUCACCAAGGCGUUGACGGGUAGCCGGCCUGAGAGGGCGACCGGCCACACUGGGACUGAGACACGGCCCAGACUCCUACGGGAGGCAGCAGUGGGGAAUAUUGCACAAUGGGCGAAAGCCUGAUGCAGCGACGCCGCGUGAGGGAUGACGGCCUUCGGGUUGUAAACCUCUUUCAGCAGGGAAGAAGCGAAAGUGACGGUACCUGCAGAAGAAGCGCCGGCUAACUACGUG